UACGUAGGGGGCAAGCGUUGUCCGGAUUUAUUGGGCGUAAAGAGCGUGUAGGCGGCUGGGUAGGUCUGCUGUGAAAACUCGAGGCUCAACCUCGAGACGUCGGCGGAAACCAUCUGGCUAGAGUCCGGAAGAGGAGAGUGGGAAUUCCUGGUGUAGCGGUGAAAUGCGCAGAUAUCAGGAAGAACACCCGUGGCGAAGGCGGCUCUCUGGGGACGGUACUGACGCUGAGACGCGAAAGCGUGGGGAGCGAACAGG
rnacentral:rRNA from 1 species